AAGCGGAGGAAAAGAAACUAACAAGGAUUCCCCUAGUAACGGCGAGUGAAGAGGGAAGAGCCCAAGAUUGAAAGCUGGCGUCUUUGGCGUCCGCAUUGUAAUCUCAAGAAGUGUUUUCCGCUUCGGACCAUGCCUAAGUCCCUUGGAAAAGGGCAUCAUAGAGGGUGAUAAUCCCGUACAUGGCAUGGAGCGCCAGAGGCUUUGUGAUACGCUUUCUAAGAGUCGAGUUGUUUGGGAAUGCAGCUCAAAAUGGGUGGUAAAUGCCAUCUAAGGCUAAAUAUUGGGGAGAGACCGAUAGCGAACAAGUACAGUGAUGGAAAGAUGAAAAGAACUUUGAAAAGAGAGUUAAACAGUACGUGAAAUUGCCAAAAGGGAAGGGUAGGAGGUUAGAGAUGCGUCUUGGGAUUCAGCCUUGCUUUUGCUUGGUGUUUUUCCCAAGUUUGCAGGCCAACGUCGGUUUUGGGCACUGGAGAAGGGUAGGAGGAACGUGGCACCUCUCGGGGUGUGUUAUAGCCUCCUACUGGAUACAGCGACCGAGACCGAGGACAGCAGCGUACUCGCAAGAGCGGGCCUUCGGGCACCUUUACGCUUAGGGCGUUGGCAUAAUGGCCCUCUACCACCCGUCUUGAAACAC
rnacentral:rRNA from 1 species